CCAGACUCCUACGGGAGGCAGCAGUGAGGAAUAUUGGUCAAUGGACGAGAGUCUGAACCAGCCAAGUAGCGUGAAGGAUGACUGCCCUAUGGGUUGUAAACUUCUUUUAUAAAGGAAUAAAACGAGGCACGUGUGCCUUUUUGCAUGUACUUUAUGAAUAAGGAUCGGCUAACUCCGUGCCAGCAGCCGCGGUAAUACGGAGGAUCCGAGCGUUAUCCGGAUUUAUUGGGUUUAAAGGGAGCGUAGAUGGGUUGUUAAGUCAGUUGUGAAAGUUUGCGGCUCAACCGUAAAAUUGCAAUUGAUACUGGCAGUCUUGAGUACAGUUGAGGUAGGCGGAAUUCGUGGUGUAGCGGUGAAAUGCUUAGAUAUCACGAAGAACCCCGAUUGCGAAGGCAGCUUACUAAACUGUGACUGACAUUGAUGCUCGAAAGUGUGGGUAUCAAACAGGAUUAGAUACCCGUGUA
rnacentral:rRNA from 1 species